AGAAUAUACUGGGGGUUUAGUAUUUCAUAAAUAUUAAUUCCUUUCCACAGUUCUGGAUACUAGGAAGUCUGACUAGGGUACUGGUAGACACGGUGUCUUUCCUGUGUGAGGCCUGUCCAGUGUUUCUGCCAUGUCAUCUUGUUAGGUAAUCUAGGGAGGGGUAAACCAAACUGAAGUGUGCUCAUGAGAAAGAAGAGUUACAGGGCCACUCUGACUCAUGGUGUGGGGGCUGUGUGCGCCACCAUGAUGAGAAAAUAUGGUGAUGGAGAGGUGGGAAAGAUAGAAAAAUAGGGCGGGGCACGCACUGUGGAGAGAAGCAGAACUGGAGCUGUGAUGGCGGUGACAGGUGAGAGCGAGGGCUGAGGUGGCUGGGUAGGGUUGGUAGGCUGGUGUGCAGCACAGCCUGGAGCUUAUGCAAAUGAACUCAGCCUCUGAACCUUCUGCCCUGCCGAGGGUUUCCCCUGGCUCUGGGCAACAGUGAAGGCCCAGAUAAGGAAAGGUUCGCUUUCUGGACUGGACCUCCUUGGAGGAUCACCAUGGUUCUCCAUACCACUGGGGGCCAUGUUGGUGUCUGUGGUCCAUGCAGCUGCUCCAGGUCCCGAUGAAGCCUGAGAUCCACGUGGAGGCAGAUGUGUUUGAACACUUGGUCUGGAGCUGGUGGCACUGUCUGAGAAAUCCAUAGACCCUAGUAGGAACGGGUGUGCCUCGCUGGAGGACGCGGGUCACUGGAAGUGGUGGUUGUCCGCAGACAACCACGGCUGCUAUGAACUCAAGGACACAGAAGCCCUGCCAUGCGUAGAAGACGCCGGCCAGAGUCCUGCCUAACAUACCAGGCUAAAGGUUUUCUGCUCCCUCCUUGGUGAUGCCGCCUGUGCCUGGGGGAAGAGGGUGUGAUACAGGUGCCUCAUUUGUGGUUAAGCAGGCCACAGACUCUUUUUCUCUGCACUUUGACCAGCUGUAUGUUUCUAAGUUGACUACCAUCCACCACAAAAAGAAAUUUCUCUGAUGAGCUCUGAUAGCUGCACUAAAAUAGAGAAACACAUUUAGAGGGCAGUGUGACACUGUGUCCACUUAGUAAAGUAAUAGUAGUUUCACCCCUGGGGCCCAUGAGCUCCCCACCUGUUGGUUAGUGGCCAGAUUUACAACACAUUGAAGGAAGAAUGUGUUUCCUUCUGUAGAGUAGGGCUGAAAUCUAAGCAGAAAGCAGCUGGGUUACUCCUCUAAUAUCUAUGCUACUGUUGUACCCAUGAGCAUGUCUUGCCAUGCUGAUAAUUACUGUAGCUGAUGGGGUUCACAGCUGGCUAAGACUGAUGUUUUUUCCUCUAGCAUCUUGCAUAGUACCAUUCAGCACUGGGAAAGCAGGGAGGAAGCUUCUUGGUCAGUACCAACUUGAUUUCUUCAUAUCCUGUGACCAAAGAGUGUGGUAUCUUUGGUGUCUUCAAAUAGGGUCUUAUAAUCAAGUUCUGGUGGGCAACCAAGAGCAAUGGUAAUAGUUGUGUAAUUUGGGGGAUAUCUGAGACAUGCCCUUGUACUGCUUCUUGUCAAAUGCUUUGUCACAAU